rnacentral:ncRNA from 1 species
CAACCUCUGGCAAGAGUUGUGAAUGUUG